GUAAUUCUUAGAUACGACUCUGGUAUCAAUGAACGCAGAGUAGCAGGGUGGAAAUUACAAGCAAACUUUCAGUGUUUUCUUUUGCAUCAAUCGACAUGUAGUGACCAUUGAAAAUAUUCGUCCCGCGCCGCCGCGCCAAGAUGAAUUACGUUAAAGACUAGAUCGGUAUUCGCAAUUGAUUCUUAAAACUAUCUUAAGUACAAUUUUAAGAUUUUAUGAACCAAGCUCAGAGAGCUGUAGACAUUUUGAGACAUUAUUUAAUGUCUGGUUUAUGCUUCAGUCUUAAUCUUAGAAUUAGUCCUAAUCUUAAGGACUUAAAGUUAAAAGGUAGGAACUUUCUUGAGACUAAGAUUAAGAUUACGAUUAAGACUGGGGAAACAUAACGAUCUUAUAUCUAAUGAUUCUUUGUUGCCAAUUUUUAAGAUUACGAUUGAAGCAUAAAGCAGCCAUAAGACGAUCUCGAAAUAAGACUCGAUAAGACUCGAUAAGAACCGGCCUAGGAGUUGUACGCGAGGAACGAAUCGAAUCCAUAAUUUGUACAGUCCAUUCUAGAUACGACGUUUUUUAUAUUCCUUUUGCAAAUUGUAGACAAAAGCCACUUUCACUCCUGAAAUUUUUAUAUAAAUUAGAAGCAAGAAAUGACGAAACAAUGUACUGACUGCUCGAGAUCGUCAAG